rnacentral:misc_RNA from 1 species
UAGCCCUGACGAUUUCCAUGGCCACAUUACGGGUGCCUUUCAGUAUGUUGGCGGUGCUCUACGAUUUUGUUUCGCUGCCGUUGCGAAACAUGUGAGCACUGUACAGCACGAGCUACCAUGCACAGCCGGCAUGGCGUAUCACACCCGAGCAAGGCAUCCAGAGGUCAGCAGAGCAAGAGGAAUAGACGGAAAAGGUGCGAAGAGAUGCAUAGGAAUCAACGCCACAGCGCAUGCGUGCGAAAUGUGCAGCAUCUCCUUCAUCCGACCGGGUGGACUGAUGAGGCGCAGAUGCCGGAAGCGCGACGAGGGCACGCCACGCGUUGCACCAUCGAGACCUCGAGGCUCCCAUGUGAAGAGUCCACGCACCACAUUCUGGGGUGCCGCGGCUUGAAGCGCCUCAGAGGGCGGAGCAAGGCAUAUAGGCAGGGUGUGCAGAGGGCUGCAGCGAGGGCCCUGGCCUGCAGCUGGCCAGCUUCCUUCUCGAGCGUACCCGGCAUGCACCUUCAUCAACCCCUACUACUCGCACGGUCGACGCCACCGCCUCCGCCCUCGAGCAGGGCCCUGGAGGCGGCCGGCGUUGGAUCAAGGCAAGCAGAGCCCGUACAACGCAUGGCCCGGAUGCGACGGCAGGACGGUUCGUCCUAGACGGCGAGGUUGUAGCCGUAUUCCUGCAAAGGCAGGUGGGCUGUGGGUGCUUGUGUGUGUGUGUGUGUCUACUUGUUGACCUGUUCGUUGGUGGCAUGGGCACGCUGUUGUGCGAAAAAAAAAAAGGAAACUUCUCGUUUUUCUCACAGGGUGCUUUCGUUGUUAUGUUGUCGCUCUUUGCUUGUAUUGCUGCACUCGCUUGUCUGGAGACUUGCGUCCUCUCUCCACCUGUCACAUGGACACAUACAUACACGUGCACGCAUACUCAGGUGUGCGGCCGACUCUUGUGAGAGUGCGCGGUGCCUUUCGUCUUCGGCAGUCCUGUUCGAGGUUGCCGCACCGUCUUUCAAGCCUCCCGUGCAUUCUCUCCCUCUAAGGCGGUCGAUUUUCUUGUGGUCUUCUUGCUGGUUGCGGAGUUGCCCACAUC